rnacentral:rRNA from 1 species
AGUGAACGCUGGCGGUAGGCCUACCCCUGCAAGUCGCACGGCAGCACAGUAAGAGCUUGCUCUUACGGGUGGCGAGUGGCGGACGGGUGAGGAAUACAUCGGAAUCUACUUUUUCGUGGGGGAUAACGUAGGGAAACUUACGCUAAUACCGCAUACGACCUACGGGUGAAAGCAGGGGAUCUUCGGACCUUGCGCGAUUGAAUGAGCCGAUGUCGGAUUAGCUAGUUGGCGGGGUAAAGGCCCACCAAGGCGACGAUCCGUAGCUGGUCUGAGAGGAUGAUCAGCCACACUGGAACUGAGACACGGUCCAGACUCCUACGGGAGGCAGCAGUGGGGAAUAUUGGACAAUGGGCGCAAGCCUGAUCCAGCCAUACCGCGUGGGUGAAGAAGGCCUUCGGGUUGUAAAGCCCUUUUGUUGGGAAAGAAAAGCAGCAGGUUAAUACCCCGCUGUUCUGACGGUACCCAAAGAAUAAGCACCGGCUAACUUCGUG